rnacentral:rRNA from 1 species
CGGAGGGUGCAAGCGUUAUCCGGAUUCACUGGGUUUAGAGGGUGCGUAGGUGGCUUUGUAAGUCAGUGGUGAAAUCUUAGAGCUUAACUCUAAAACUGCCAUUGAUACUGCUUAGCUUGAAUCAAGUAGAGGUGGAUGGAAUAUUACAUGUAGCGGUGAAAUGCUUAGAUAUGUAAUAGAACACCGAUUGCGAAGGCAGUUCACUAUGCUUGUAUUGACACUGAGGCACGAAAGCGUGGGGAUCAAACAGGAUUAGAUAACCCUGGUAGUCCACGCCCUAAACGAUGUAAACUCGACAUUAGCGAUAUACUGUUAGUGUCCAAGCGAAAGCGUUAAAGUUUACCACCUGGGAAGUACGUCGCAAGGAUG